rnacentral:misc_RNA from 1 species
AUCUAUUUGAGCUUAUCUUUCUCUACCAAAUCUCUGUCCCUCUGAUUCUCCACAAGCUCUUCUUGGGGGACACUUUCGGUUUCCGAUGGAAGUCUAAUUUUUGAAGCUGCUGGAUUUUCUUAUGGUAAGUUGCCAAAAAUGGAAGUCCGUUUGGAUUUCUUGGAUUUGCUUCAACCCGACAUGUCGAGAAAGAUUUUAAUGUGCUUGGAUGAUGUUUCUGAUAUUGUUCGUGCGAGUGCCGUCUCACGAUGUUGGCAACGUUUGGUGAUAGAAAACGAUCUAUCGAAGCAGCUCUGCUUUAGAUCAUUCCCUCAUUUGUCUAGAGUAGCUUCGAUUGUUGAAG